AUCUGGUGAACUGGGUUUGUGUCUCUGCUCCUCCACAUGCAGCUGCUGGGUGACCUUGGGCUAGUCACACUUCUCUGAAGUCUCUCAGCCCCACUCACCUCACAGAGUGUUUGUUGUGGGGGAGGAAGGGAAAGGAGAAUGUUAGCUGCUUUGAGACUCCUUCAGGUAGUGAUAAAGUGGGAUAUCAAAUCCAAACUCUUCUUCUUCUAGGGAAACCUGCUAUCUGAGAUUGGGAAGAUGUUGUCAUCCCCUCUUAAGCCAUAUAAAGGUUGGCAAGGCCUCACCUACCAGUGGCUCCACCUCCAUAGGAGGAGCCACUUGCAAUGUCUAUGCUUAUCUCCAUCCAGCAAGCAAGAGGCAUUAUCCCAAUUCAAGGGCACAUUUCAGGCAGGCAAAAGCAAUUGGGAGUGUGGAUCAGCACAGAUGAGAGAAUGAACCACCUUUACUGGCUGGAGUGAGCCAUCCCAACUGGGUGAAGUGAACCAUCUCUCCUGGCUAGAGUGAAUCACCUCCCCUAGCUAGAGUGAACCAUCUCCACCUGCUGGAGUGAACCAUCUCUCCUGGCUAGAGUGAACCACCUCCACCUGCUGGAAUGAACCACUUCUCCUGGCUAGAGUGAACCACCUCCACCUGCUGGAGUGAACCUUCUCUCCUUGUUGAAGUGAACCAUCUCUACCUGCUUGUCUGUGAACAGACAUUGUGUCCAUCCUGCAAACCAUUGAAAUCCUCCCCAAAUUUGCCACCUGUGAAUGGCAUGAUGAAUUCAGAAAAGUCCUUUUGGCUCAGGCUUUCUGAGAUUGAAGAGAGUCCCACAGGACACACACACCGUCUUGCAGAAGGCCAAAAUGGCUCAUCGGAUGUCACAGGCUGCCCAGAUUUUAUGCUGCAUCCUUGCACACUGAGAGGGAUAAAAAGCAGCAUAUGGGCCUUUGCUUCCAACGCGACUUUGCAGAGCUUAAUUGGAUCAUCCAUUUUUGCUAUAUUAACAUAUUGGGAUGGCAGCUAAUCCCCUCAGGAGGCCCUGUAACAUUGCAGAUUAAAGCACUUUUCAUGA